rnacentral:rRNA from 1 species
UACGGGGGGGGCAAGCGUUGUUCGGAAUUACUGGGCGUAAAGGGCGCGUAGGUGGUGACCUAAGCGUGCGGUGAAAGCCCGAGGCUCAACCUCGGGUCGGCCGUGCGAACUGGGUCACUGGAGCAGAAUAGAGGCAGGUGGAAUUCCGGGUGUAGCGGUGGAAUGCGUAGAGAUCCGGAAGAACAUCGGUGGCGAAGGCGGCCUGCUGGGUUCUGGCUGACACUGAGGCGCGACAGCGUGGGGAGCAAACAGG